UAAUGAAAUCACCAAGCUAAAAGACAACUACAACAUAUCGAUCUUCAUAAAAGACAUUCAAUAAUUAUUCAAAUUAUUUUAAAGUUUUUUGCUAUUCUAUAAGUGUUAAAUACAUUGGUUUUCUACAUUAUAAAGUAAUCAAACUUAUGUUUGUUUAAUGCAAAGAAAGAAAAAUAUGGCCAAAGUUUUCAAGGUUGUUUAUGUUACGAUCCUCUUUCUUUCAUCGUUUCUUGUUUUAAUUGAUGCAUUUCGAUUUUGUAUUAAUAAAAAAGAUUGUCCAUAUAUGGAAUGUGAUCCUCCUAAAAAUUCGACAUGCAUUGGAAAUAUUUGUGGUUGCACUUUAGGGUAACAUUUUCUUUUGUUUAUAGUGGAGCUUGCAUACCAAACUCAUGAGCUCUAAUAUAUUGUUCAAACUUUUUACCAUAAAUCAAACCUAAUGGUUUGCGCCUAGUGUAACUUACUUCAACUAUAAUAAUUGUAUUUCAUGUUGUAAUGUUGUUACUUAUAUGAUUUCUCUUGCAUUUUGUGAUA